GAUACCUUUUAUAUUGUUUAAAAUUCCACUUUUUCACUCUUUUUUUAUAUCUAAUAAAUUUUUACCUUAUACUUGUAACCUUUGUCGUUAAGUAGUUUUGCGUUAAAGAAGUUCAAACAUACAUCCAUACAUCCAGACAUCCAGACUUAUAAACUUUCACAUUUAUAAUAUAAGUAGGAUAGCAUUUUAUUAAUAUUAAAGGUAAAGGUUUAUUAAAUAAAUUUUUUAGUUAUUUGAUA